AUCGGUGUUUGUGAUGACUAAUCUUUUUUCCCCAGCAGAUCGACACUGUUGAUUGCAUGACUUUAAAAGCCAAACCUGUCUGAUUACACCAUU